CCUAGGGUGGCAGCAGUAGGGAAUCUUAGAAAUGGACGAAAGUCUGAUCUAGCGACACCGCGUGUGCGAUGAAGGCCUUCGGGUUGUAAAGCACUUUUUGGAAGGAAUAGGAAGGAAGGUACUUCCAGAAUAAGUCUCGGCUAACUACGUGCCAGCAGCCGCGGUAACACGUAGGAGGCAAACGUUAUCCGGAUUUACUGGGCGUAAAGCGCGUGUAGGUGGUUCUGUAAGUAGGGCGUGAAAGCUCCCGGCUCAACUGGGAGAGGCCGUUCUAAACUGCAGAACUAGAGGAUGGUAGAGGGAGGUGGAAUUUCAGGUGUAGCGGUGGAAUGCGCAGAUAUCUGAAGGAACACCAGUGGCGAAAGCGGCCUCCUGGACCAUUCCUGACACUCAGACGCGAAAGCUAGGGUAGCAAACG
rnacentral:rRNA from 1 species